rnacentral:rRNA from 1 species
AUUGAACGCUGGCGGCAGGCCUAACACAUGCAAGUCGAACGAGUGGCGGACGGGUGAGUAAUGUCUGGGAAUCUGCCUGAUGGCGGGGGAUAACUACUGGAAACGGUAGCUAAUACCGCAUACCAUCGGAUGAACCCAGAUGGGAUUAGCUUGUAGGUGAGGUAACGGCUCACCUAGGCGACGAUCCCUAGCUGGUCUGAGAGGAUGACCAGCCACACUGGAACUGAGACACGGCCCAGACUCCUACGGUAGGCAGCAGUGGGGAAUAUUGCACAAUGGGCGCAAGCCUGAUGCAGCCAUGCCGCGUGUAUGAAGAAGGCCUUCGGGUUGUAAAGUACUUUCAGUGGGGAGGCGUUACCCACAGAAGAAGCACCGGCUAACUCCGUGCCAGCAGCCGCGGUAAUUC